UACGGAGGGUGCAAGCGUUAUCCGGAUUCACUGGGUUUAAAGGGUGCGUAGGUGGGUUGGUAAGUCAGUGGUGAAAUCUCCGUGCUUAACAUGGAAACUGCCAUUGAUACUACUGAUCUUGAAUUUUCUGGAGGUAAGCGGAAUAUGUCAUGUAGCGGUGAAAUGCUUAGAUAUGACAUAGAACACCAAUUGCGAAAGGCAGCUUGCUACAGGGAUGAUUUGACACUGAGAGACGAAAAGCUAGGGGGAGCGAAUGGG
rnacentral:rRNA from 1 species